UUUCCGUAGGUGAACCUGCGGAAGGAUCAUUCAUAAUAAAGUGUUUUAUGGCACUUUUUAAAAAUCCAUAUCCACCUUGUGUGCAAUGUUAGAUCUCGUCAAUCUUGGCGAGAUUUUUAUACAUCAACUCAUUAUUUAACUAAUUUGUCUGAAAAAUAUUAUGAAUACUUAAUUCAAAAUACAACUUUCAACAACGGAUCUCUUGGCUCUC
rnacentral:misc_RNA from 1 species